rnacentral:rRNA from 1 species
GACGAACGCUGGCGGCGUGCUUAACACAUGCAAGUCGAACGAUGAAGCUAGAGCUUGCUCUGGUGGAUUAGUGGCGAACGGGUGAGUAACACGUGAGUAACCUGCCCCGAACUCUGGGAUAACUGCUGGAAACGGUAGCUAAUACCGGAUAUGACCAAUGAAGGCAUCUUCUGUUGGUGGAAAGAAUUUCGGUUCGGGAUGGACUCGCGGCCUUUCAGCUUGUUGGGGGGGUAACGGCUCACCAAGGCGACGACGGGUAGCCGGCCUGAGAGGGUGAUCGGCCACACUGGGACUGAGACACGGCCCAGACUCCUACGGGAGGCAGCAGUGGGGAAUAUUGCACAAUGGGCGCAAGCCUGAUGCAGCAACGCCGCGUGAGGGACGACGGCCUUCGGGUUGUAAACCUCUUUUAGUAGGGAAGAAGCGAAAGUGACGGUACCUGCAGAAAAAGCACCGGCUAACUACGUGCCAGCCGCCGCCGUAA